GGCGGGGUGGCAGAGUGUUUAUGCUGCAAGGGGUGCAACCCUUGUAUACGCCGGUUUGAUUCCGUGCCCCCGCCUCCA
rnacentral:tRNA from 1 species